rnacentral:misc_RNA from 1 species
AAGGCCACCACGAGAUGUUACCUCCACAAAAAGAAGGUGAAGAUCAAGAGGCUUCCCUCCCACAGUGGGAACCCUGUACAAGCAUAAAUAGUAGGAAAAUUAUAAUCCGUAUUUUCAUAGAGUCUAUCUAAAAAGAAAAAAUCCAUAAAUGUUCAAUUUCUAAAUCAAAUUUGCCUGCAUUUAAAUGGAUAACCAAUGUCUAUAAGCAGAUGAUGAUACCAUUAAACAAGAAUGAAAAAGAAAAGAAAGGAAAAAUCCUCAGCUGGAUACAAUAAGGCACGAAGGGGAAUAUCACUAAUUAAAGCCAUAAGUUGGAAGAUAGCCACUUGUGAAGGUACCUUGUACUUCCAUAAAAAGUAGAAAAGAUAGAAGAUGCACUUACCGAAUUAAUCACCAUCUUAUAAAGGAUUGGUAUCUCAUAAUCAUCAUCCCACCACUCAUUAAUGCAUUAGAUAAGCACCUAAUCAGAUGAUCUUUGAGCUCUAUAUCUUUCUUCAACAGAGAUAAGGUCCAAGGUUAUGCCUAAGCUCCUAUAACAACUACCCAUAAAUGAGGUGAAAUGCUUAAAAAGCAACUGCUUUUAAAAGAGGUUGCUAAACCAUCAAAGCUUAAUAGAGCAUUAUAGAACUACAGUAUUAAAACAAAGUAGCAUAAUGAUAUGACACAGGCAUCUCAAGAACAAAAUCCGCAGAAAGAACAGAAGAGCUUCAUGGCAGACACCACAACAAAGAUAAAGAGCUUAUCUUGAAUAAAAAAAAAAUUGGAAGUAGCAAAUGGUUAAAUCUUAGCUACAAUUACAUAUCAAUCCCACGUUGAACUUUGAAAGGAGUGCCCCCUGCUUCAAAAAUUUAAGGAACUCAAGACUCUAGGAGAAAGCAACAUACUUUGCGAUUCUUAACCAUUUAAUUUUAAGUAAGAGAAUAGAAAAGCUGUUUGAAAUCUACCGUCUCACCAUUGAGUGCCAAAGUCACUCCCACAAGUAGAAUUUAGCAUAAACAAACAUUAAAAAAAAAUACUGGAUACUGAGCACCAAAAUCAGAAUAUGAGCAAAAACAAAAUUAAGACAAAACCAAUAUAUUCCUCAAAAUUACAAAGCAGAAUCACAAGAAACCAUAAAAAAAUAAGGACCCAGAUGGGGAAAAAACUGAAUAUUGCAAAUAAAUGAAGUUUGAUGAAAGGGUUUAUAGAAAAACCCACUUACAUGAAUUUGGUACCAAAGGAUUUGUGGAAAGCUUUGAGCUUU